GACGAACGCUGGCGGCGUGCCUAACACAUGCAAGUCGAACGGAAAGGCCCUGCUCUUGCUGGGUGCUCGAGUGGCGAACGGGUGAGUAACACGCGAGUAUCCUCCCCUUGUCUUUGGGGUAUCUUUAGGAAACUGGGGCUAAUACCGGAUAGGAGCUCUUGCUCCAUGGGGUGGGUUGGAAAGUUUCGGCGGUUGGGGAUGGACUCGCGGCUUACCAGCUUGUUGGGGGGGUAGGGGUUUUCCAAGGCUUUGACGGGUAGCCGGCCUGGGAGGGUUACCGGCGACAAUGGGACUGAGAUACGGCGCAGACUCCUACGGGAGGCAGCAGGGGAGAAUAUUGCACAAUGGGGCGAAGCCUGAUGCAGCAACGCCGCGUGCGGGAUGCCGGGCUUCGGGUUGUAAACCGCUUUCGCAUGUGACGAAGCGUGAGUGACGGUAAUGGGUAAAGAAGCCCCGGCUAACUACGUG
rnacentral:rRNA from 1 species